GGAGUUGUGGCUCAGUGGUAGAGCACUUGCCUGGCCUGUAUGAGGCCUUGGGUUCAAUCCUCAGCAUCACAU
rnacentral:tRNA from 1 species